rnacentral:rRNA from 1 species
AGUGAACGCUGGCGGUAGGCCUAACACAUGCAAGUCGAACGGCAGCACAGUAAGAGCUUGCUCUUACGGGUGGCGAGUGGCGGACGGGUGAGGAAUACAUCGGAAUCUACUUUUUCGUGGGGGAUAACGUAGGGAAACUUACGCUAAUACCGCAUACGACCUACGGGUGAAAGCAGGGGAUCUUCGGACCUUGCGCUAUUGAAUGAGCCGAUGUCGGAUUAGCUAGUUGGCGGGGUAAAGGCCCACCAAGGCGACGAUCCGUAGCUGGUCUGAGAGGAUGAUCAGCAACACUGGAACUGAGACACGGUCCAGACUCCUACGGGAGGCAGCAGUGGGGAAUAUUGGACAAUGGGCGCAAGCCUGAUCCAGCAAUACCGCGUGGGUGAAGAAGGCCUUCGGGUUGUAAAGCCCUUCUGUUGGGAAAGAAAAGCAGCAGGUUAAUACCCCGCUGUUCUGACGGUACCCAAAGAAUAAGCACCGGCUAACUUCGUG